rnacentral:rRNA from 1 species
CCUACGGGUGGCAGCAGUGAGGAAUAUUGGUCAAUGGACGAGAGUCUGAACCAGCCAAGUAGCGUGAAGGAUGACUGCCCUAUGGGUUGUAAACUUCUUUUAUAUGGGAAUAAAAUGUUCCACGUGUGGGAUUUUGUAUGUACCAUAUGAAUAAGGAUCGGCUAACGCCGUGCCAGCAGCCGCGGUAAUACGGAGGAUCCGAGCGUUAUCCGGAUUUAUUGGGUUUAAAGGGAGCGUAGGUGGAUUGUUAAGUCAGUUGUGAAAGUUUGCGGCUCAACCGUAAAAUUGCAGUUGAAACUGGCAGUCUUGAGUACAGUAGAGGUGGGCGGAAUUCGUGGUGUAGCGGUGAAAUGCUUAGAUAUCACGAAGAACUCCGAUUGCGAAGACAGUUCACUGGACUGCAACUGACACUGAGGCUCGAAAGUGUGGGUAUCAAACAGGAUUAGAUACCCGGGUAGUC